UCAAAGCGCUGAACAACAACAAUAUACAAAUAAUACACACAUAUUUAAAACAAUGCAACAACAAGUCAAACCAUAAAUAAAGGAAUAAAAUACAAUAAAAUAAAAUACAAAUGUUCAAUUAAAAGCUAACCUAAAAAAAUGAGUUUUAAGGCGAGAUUUAAAAAUGCUAAGAGUAUUGGCUUGCCUUAUCUCAAUAGGUAAGGAGUUCCAUAGUUUUGGAGCUAAUGAAGAGAAAGCCCUGUCGCCCAUUGAUCUUAAACGAGUUAAAGGAACAGUUAAAAGGCCAGUUUCAGAAGAGCGAAGGUCACGUGAUGGAGUAUAUGGAAUUAAAAGCUCAGCCAAAUAUUGAGGUGCCAAUCCAUGUAAAGCCUUGUAAGUAAGCAUCAAAAUUUUAAAAUCAACUCUAAAACCAACAGGGAGCCAAUGUAAAGACUCCAGAACCGGGGUAAUAUGGUCACUCAUGCUAGUUCUAGUGAGGAUUCUAGCAGCUGAAUUUUGCACUACCUGCAAUCUGUUUAAGGUAGCUUUAGAUGCCCCUGCCAGCAAGGCAUUACAAUAAUCAAUCCUGGUAAACACAAAAGUGUUUAUCAACCUCUCAGCAACAGGGAAAGACAGCAUCGGACGUAAUCUCGCGAUAUUUCUAAGAUGAAAGAAGGAUGUUCUAACAGUGUUUUUAAUAUGAGGUUCAAAUGUUAAACUAGAAUCGAAAAUCACACCCAGAUUCUUCAAUUUCGGUUUAAAUUCCAUAACUGAACCAUCAAUGGGCAAAGUAACCGACCCAGCUUUACGUAAUUGGUGUGGUGUUCCAAUAAGCAUAACCUCAGUUUUUUCACUGUUAAAACAAAGAAAAUUGUGUGUCAUCCAAUCUUUUAUCUUUGAAAUACAAGUGGUAAUAAAAUCAACAGGCACAUUGUAAUUGUAUACAGUACACGGCCCGAUUCCGUGAUGUGGCAAUCAGCCCUCUAGCUGUUGAACGGCAACAUCACGACUGCUGUUAUGAUUUGAAUCAAGCAGAGCACAAAGCUGAGCUCCCGUUCGACACAGACACCAUCAUCAGUAACUGGUUAACUGGUUGGGGCUUAUUGGCGGGACAGAUGUACGAGACUGCACAUGGCAUUGAAGAGGGCGACUGACAACUCCCUGGCUUAAAACCUCAACUGGAUGGAAAAGACUUUAUUUGCCACCCUCCAACUCAGAGAGGUAGUGAUUGAUGCAGUUCGGAGAAGGUCCCUUACAGUGGACAAUGAAGAGGUGGCUCGAUCGAGAGGGUGGGUGCAAGAGACAACUUUAGCAAAAGAAAAGCAGUUAGUGUUAGCGCCUGUGUUUGUGUCUACAAAGGAGAAUGUUUUGUUCUGUAAAAAGAGUGGUGGUGUUUUGGUUAAAUGUGUUUAACUUGUUUUAAUUACUUGGUUUGUGUGUGAGAGGUGUGUGUGCGGGUGGGUUGGCAUAUGUGGUUUAUGGGGAAUAGUGUAUAAUGACAUGUUUAAUAUGCUAUAAACAUGCUUUACAGGGACACAAUACUAAGUGAAACUUUUUCAUAGAUUAAAGACUUCCAACAGAUUUUUGUUAUGGUUGGGCUUAGGGACUGGGGUAAGUUAAGGCAAUAGAAUAUACAGUUUGUACAGUAUAAAAUGCAUUGUGUCUAUGAAAUUGUCCCGGUAAACCAUAUACUGUAUGCCAACCUGUGUGUGUGGUGUGUGUGUGAGAGAGAAUUUUUUUCUUUAAAUGUUAAUUAAUUUGUUUUACAUGUUGUCUCGCUGUAAUUGCUUAAGGGGAUAGUUCACCCCAAAAUUGCAAUUUUAUCAUAAAUCACUUCCCCUCUGUCGCACCAACAAGUGCUUAGAUUGUCUUUAGAACACGUUUUUAGAUAUUUUUGAUGAAAACUGGGAGGCUUCUGU